rnacentral:lncRNA from 1 species
GGAGCAAGCCGAUAAGCAGCACCCCUCCAUGGCCUCUGCAUCAGCUCCUGCCUCCAGGUUCCUGCCCUUGCCUUCCCUCACUGAUGGACUGUGAUCCGGACAUCAAGGAGUAUUCGACUUUGAGGAUGUUGCAGCCCAGGAUGGAUGGUCUGAUCUUCUGCACUCUGAGGCUCUUGCCACGCCACGAUGCGCAAGUCCCUGAGAUAAUGUGAUUGCCUCUGACUGAGGACAGCUUCUGAGUGAACACUUUGGUCUGGCCAUUGGCAAGGACCUUGGCCACGCCGCAAGCCAGGAUCCUGACGGCUUUGACUCGGGUAACUUCACACACUUCCACUAUUACCCGUCCGGCCACCUUCUCCCCGCUGCCGUACACCUUCUCGGGGUCGUUGAAGACCACCUCAAAAGACUUGAUCUUCUUGAACAUCACCAUGAUUGAGCCGAGUGGGUUCAAGAAAAACGAAAGCCGGAGAGGAAAAAAAUCUUUAAGAACCCUUCAAAGCAAACGAAGAGCUCGCCUCCGUAAAGUCAGGGCUUGAAAACCCAAACGAAAAUGUAAAGAAAGCUUCAAACAAACCCUAACAACUUUUCCAAAAGGUGCCUGGAAGUUUCAGCCUGCCGGCUGUGCCAAAAGCUUUCAGGAGAAAAAUAACAGCUGUCUUCCGCAACUGGAGAAACUCUGGAAACCCCGAGACCAGAGGAGGAGAGUGUCAAGCGGCUGCCGGAAACGGCUUAUAUAGCCGCCUGGCUUGGCGCUCCACGCGAGUGCUGGCCUGGAGGCUCGUGCAGCCCUCGUGCACAGUUCUCCCAUUGGCUACUUGGCCCUUGUUUACCAGGCCUCCAACCAAUCAGCGAGGCCGCCGGGGCGCGUGGACACGGUGUGCUCCUAGCGGGGAAAAUGGUUGUUGUUCGGGUGCGCAGCCUUGCCAGCAGGAGGGGCGGGGCCCGGGGCGACGGGUGCCCUCCCUCCCCCCGGGAGGCUGGGACCCCGGGACCCUGAACCUCAUCCAGGGGACUCCUCUUGGGAGCUGGGUUAUUUGGGUGUGUGCUUUGUUUUUUUUUUCCCCCUUCUUUUUUUAGGUGAAAGAAAAAUGUGCUUAGGAGAGGAUUUCAUGACUCGCCUGAGCCAGCGCAAUUCAUUUCGAGGUGACCAUUUAUUCCUGGCUCACAAGUUCGCAAGUCUUGUGAAAAACAAUCCCAUCGCACCGAGGAUACUCCAGGAUGGAGCGGAGGGCGAGAGUGCAGUCGUGUUAGUGAGAAAGAGCCCACCCGAUAUGCUCCUAUUGCACUUCUAUUGAAGAAUAAAAGGCUGCGGUCUCUCCAGACGAGAACUUGUCAGAUAUUUUAAAGUCUGGCUUUCAGUCCUUUCUGGUGAAUGCUCUGGUGUCCGCCGAUGCCUUAGAAGUGGAGUUAAGAGUUGUGAGCUGCCGUUUUUUGGUUCUGGGACUCGAACUCGUUUCCUCUGAUACUAUCAACCACCAAGCCAUCUCUUCAGCCCCAGCUACAUAAGACUUCAGGAGAACCAGAGAGAUGGUGCCAGGCCUGCCAACCUGAGUUCAAUAGCAGAACCCACACAGUAGCAAAAGAACCAACUCUGACCUCCCCUCUCCCCCUCCCCUCUCCUUCCCCUCUCCAGUAGUCACUCCAGAGACACCCAAAAUAAAAAAUUUAAAUGUAAAAAAGUUCUUG